AGAGUUUGAUCAUGGCUCAGAACGAACGCUGGCGGCGCGUUUUAAGCAUGCAAGUCGAACGGCAACCUGUAGCAAUACAGGCGAGAGUGGCGAACGGGUGAGUAACACGUAGGUAAUCUACCUUUGGAUGGGGGAUAGCUCAUGGAAACAUGAAGUAAAACCGCAUAAGGUUUAAUUACGAAAGUGGUUAAAUGAAAGGUGCUUUUGCACUGUCUGAAGAUGAGCCUGCGGUCCAUUAGCUAGUUGGUAGGGUAAAGGCCUACCAAGGCUACGAUGGAUAGCCGGCCUGAGAGGGUGUACGGCCACACUGGGACUGAGACACGGCCCAGACUCCUACGGGAGGCAGCAGCUAAGAAUCUUCCGCAAUGGGCGCAAGCCUGACGGAGCGACGCCGCGUGAAUGACGAAGGCCGAAAGGUUGUAAAGUUCUUUUCUUGGGGAAGAAUAAGGUAUACAGUGGAAAGGUAUAUCGAUGACAUUAACCGAGGAAUAAGCCCCGGCCAAUUACGUGCCAGCAGCCGCGGUAAUACGUAAGGGGCAAGCGUUGUUCGGAAUUAUUGGGCGUAAAGGGCGUGUAGGCGGUUUUAUAAGCCGGAUGUGAAAAACCACAGCUUAACUGUGGGAAUGCGUCGGGAACUGUAAGACUAGAGUUCAGGAGGGGAAGCUGGAAUUCCUGGUGUAGGGGUGAAAUCUGUAGAUAUCAGGAAGAACACCGAUGGCGAAGGCAAGCUUCUGGACAUGGACUGACGCUGAGGGCGAAAGCGUGGGGAGCAAACAGGAUUAGAUACCCUAGUAGUCC
rnacentral:rRNA from 1 species